GUCUAUGGCCAUGCUACCCUGAACAAACCCAAUUCUGUCUGAUCUUGGAAGCUAAGCAGGGUCAGGCCUGGUUAGUACUUGGAUGGGAGACCACCUAGGAAGACUAGGUGCUGUAGGCG
rfam:Pteropus alecto contig32037, whole genome shotgun sequence.